AUGGGGCAGCCUACACAUGCAGUCGAGCGGAAACGAUGGAAGCUUGCUUCCAGGCGUCGAGCGGCGGACGGGUGAGUAAUGCAUAGGAAUCUGCCCGGUAGUGGGGGAUAACCUGAGGAAACUCAGGCUAAUACCGCAUACGCCCUACGGGGGAAAGCAGGGGCUCUUCGGACCUUGCGCUAUCGGAUGAGCCUAUGUCGGAUUAGCUUGUUGGUGAGGUAAUGGCUCACCAAGGCCACGAUCCGUAGCUGGUCUGAGAGGAUGAUCAGCCACAUCGGGACUGAGACACGGCCCGAACUCCUACGGGAGGCAGCAGUGGGGAAUAUUGGACAAUGGGCGAAAGCCUGAUCCAGCCAUGCCGCGUGUGUGAAGAAGGCCCUCGGGUUGUAAAGCACUUUCAGCGAGGAAGAACGCUUGCGGGCUAAUACCCCGCAAGAAGGACAUCACUCGCAGAAGAAGCACCGGCUAACUCCGUGCCAGCAGCCGCGGUAAUACGGAGGGUGCGAGCGUUAAUCGGAAUUACUGGGCGUAAAGCGCGCGUAGGCGGCGUGAUAAGCCGGUUGUGAAAGCCCCGGGCUCAACCUGGGAACGGCAUCCGGAACUGUCA
rnacentral:rRNA from 1 species